UGUUUACGGCCCGACUGCGCACGCGUGCUCACCUGGCGCGCUCCACGCGGCGAGGCGUCCGUCGGCUCCUACCCUAGGCGCGGCCUCAGGCAUCCUGUGCUGUUCCCCAGGUGAUGCCGGCUCGGGCACGUGGGCAACCUAACUGUUCUGCCGCCGCCAGAGCCAGGGGAGAGCCGGUGAGGGAGAGCCUUGGCGGGGCUGGCAUCUGGAGUGCUGAGGUGAACUUGGGGUGGUCUCAACUGUCUCCGGCCCUGCCCUGAGCGGCCCCAGGAGGCUGAGGAGCAGAGGGCGAGCGUAGCCUCGACUGCCGCCGGCUUUGGUGUCAGCACGUGGGACACCCCGGGAGGUGGCGCGGAUGCCGCAGGGGUCGGGCGGGGCCGUGCCACCUCGCCUGGGCGCUGCCUUCGGGACGGGGACUGUCCCGGUCGGAGAGCCGAGGGGGACCCGCGCGACCGUCUGGAUGCCCAGGAAGGCCCUCUGCGCCUGGUGGGGCUUCCAGAACACUGGCAUCCAAAUCUUUACUCCCCAUGCAAAGAUUUUAGAAGAGUCGUCUCUGAAGAAUCUGACAAUUCCCAAGAUACAGGCUUAAGAGGUUCUCCCAACAAAUUGCCCAUGCAGAUAUCUUGCAGUGAAUCUCAAAGUCUUACAAACCAUGUGCUCAAAUCUUCCAAACAGCUUUUUAGUCCUCCACUCUUAAUCAUAAGCAGACAACCAAGGAUUAUCAUACAUAUGAGAAAAACCCCUAACUGUGAGUUUUAGAGAUCAAAACAAAUGGACAGAAAAAACCAGUAUUGAAGAAAACAGGAUGUACAAGGAAAUGAGAAUUUUAAAACACGUGAUAAUAUUAAUAUUCUCAGAUUGAGUAGAUACUGCAUCCAUGAAAUAAGAACAGACUGGCACUCGUGUAAGAAACUUCAGAAAAUAAAAAAAAAAAUCUUGAAUAUUAAAAACAUGAUAGCAGAAAUAAAAAUGCUAGAAGGAUUGGAAAAGAAAAUUAAAGAAAUCUCCCCAAAAGAGCAAUAAGUAAAGAGGAACCAUAAAAGAAUAAAAGCUAAGAGAGUAGAGGACCUGAGAGUUCAACCUACAAACAUUGCAGGAGGAAAUUAUCCACAAAAUAUUCAAGAAAAAUUUCCAGAACUAAAGGACAUGAGUUUACAGAGUGAAUGAGCCCACCAAGUGCCCAGGAAAAUGGGUAAAAAUAGAUCCAUACCAAGGUACAUCGUUGCAAAAUUUUAGAACCACUGGAGUAGAGAAGAUCCUACAAGCUUCCAGAGAGAAGAAAUGUCAUAUGAAAAGGAACAGAAAUCAGAAUGGCUUCAGACUUGUAAGCAACACCACCAAAAGCAAGAACGCAAGCUAGGGUAUAAACUCUUUGACUUUGUCUCUUUAUGUACCUUUGUCACUGUUCUUCACUGCUGGGUCCCAAGUGCUUAGAGACAGUGUUAGGCAUAGAGUAGGUUCUCAAUAAAAAUUUAUUGAGAGAAAGAAAACAAUAGAAAUGGCUUCAAAAUUCUGAGGAAAAAUUUCUUCUAGCCUAUAACUAAGCCAGUUAAUCAGUCAAAUACAAAUUUAGAAUAAAGACAUUGUUUGCAAAAUCUCAAA